rnacentral:lncRNA from 1 species
GUUUGCGGAAGGCACCCCUCUUCCUCCUAGCGUGAAGCCCCUUUUGCUACCUCCUUGGGCAGCAUCCGAAGACCAGAGAAAGAGGGAGAGGUUAAGGAGAAAGAGUCACUUUGAUUCAUAUAUCAAAUUAGGGUUAUAACAUACAUAUAUAUACCCAUAUACAUGUUCCAAAAUCCUAGUCUAAAACUCUCUGGGCUAACCCAUACAUGAAAGCACUCACCCAAGCCCAAGUCUUGCAUGCUCUCAUCCCCAUGGACCCAAACCCGGCCUAUACAUGAAUUAGCCCCCUUG